rnacentral:rRNA from 1 species
AGCUCUGUAAGCGUAUACCAAAGUUGUUGCAGUUAAAACGCUCGUAGUCGGAGGUUGGCGGGCGGCGCGGGGCGUCCUCACGGACGGUUCUGCGGCGGCCGCCUUUGUGGAUGGGGGCUAGAGCGAUGUUUCAUUACAUUGCACUAGUCGCUGCCACCGUUUACUGUGAAAAAAUUAGAGUGUUCAAAGCGGGCGUUUGCCAUGAAUAAAUUAGCAUGGAAUAAUAGAAUAGGACCUGUGUUCUGUUUUGUUGGUUUGUGAGGCGCGGGUAAUGAUUAAGAGGGACGGUUGGGGGCAUUUGUAUUCCGGCGUCAGAGGUGAAAUUCUUGGAUUGCCGGAAGACAAACAGCUGCGAAAGCGUCUGCCAAGGACGUUUUCAUUGAUCAAGAACGAAAGUAGG